UUUUUCCAUUGCUUUUUUCUUGGUGAGGUAGUUAAAGGGUUAAGCUAACUGUCUGCACUCAUAAACAAAGGUUUACCAGAGAGAGGACCAUAAUAAAAUCAUCUGUCUAUGACAUUAUCUACAGAUGAGUCGGAAGGGAAAAAAUACUAUGUGCAAAUGUGCAGUUCUUAAGCCUGAGAUUAUACUUUACAGCUCUCGCAAUUUGUUCACUUUAGCGCUGCACAAUCUCAGUUUUGUUUUUUAUAUUAUCUGUGAUGGCUAACUAAGACAGAGUACAUCCUGGACAGCUCACUAGCUACAGAGAGAUAGAAAAUCAUUCACACCCACACCUACAACCAUUUAAGGAUUAGCAAUCGCUCUAAAAUUGAAAGGACACUCAUACAAACAUAGGAAUAGCAUGCAAAGGCUACACGGGAAUGCAACACUGCUAACUACUGAAGCACAACAAGUCAAAAUAUUCAACAGAGUUAAAUACCAUGAACUAAAGUUACCAGUUUAUCAAAUGUAUUAGAUUUUUUUUCUUUUUCUUUAUCUUUUUUUUUUUUUUUAAACCAAUUUUAAACUUUGCUUUCCUGGUAUGAUUAAUCUGAUAUCAAAUAAAAGUUCUGAAAUGUCUUAAAACAGGCGCAAAACAUGAACCAGCAAGUUCAAGGCAUCAAGCUGUUUGCCUGAAUUUCAGCAAAGUUAGACCACUUCCUGCAUGUGUAGCCCUGACAAAGCUGUUUGUUAACAUAAAGUAUCCAGUUCUUCUGACUCUCUUUAGUCUCUGUACAGCUCUUCAGACUGUGGCAUUGUAAACAAACCAUGACGGACCCAAUGACAUUUUCCUGCUUUUCAGCACCAUUACUUGCUUUCAUCAGCGGUUGUCGUUUCCACACGGCUGGAGCUUUUCCGCCUGCCAAACACACAAACACCAACAACAACAAUAACCAGGACCCAGUGCAGACAUUUUAUGUCGGCAAGGCGUGAUUGCAGAUGCCAUGCAGGUGCGUCCACCUCCCCUGCAGCAGCACCACAGGCAUAAAGCUCAACACUAGAAUGGAAUCUGCUGCUCAUCAUCCUCACCUCAUGUGUCUCUGGAACAACGUCUCAUAUUGACCUCAGAAUCUGUUUCCAAACAUGAGUUGUGUCCUGCAGGCAGCGUCUUGAAAUCCGAGUGUAGUUCAAAGUUGAGACUGGAUUU